AUGAAUUCCAGUUUAAACUUAAGCCACACGGGCACCAAGUUAGAGCGAGUCCAUAAAGUCAAAAGAAUUUUUUGUUCAGUUAGGAAAUCUUACCGUCUCCCACAGCAGCUCGUGAAACUCGGUUUCCUCGUCGAUACGGACGCGGACCAGGAGCGCAGAAGCCCGCGACUUCGUGGUUCCCGCCAAAACAAAGGAACAUCUUCAGUUUCCAAGACCGUACACAUGGUUUCUGACCGCAGCUCAAAAUUUUCCACUGGGCUCCCUCCUGAGAACAAACACCGCUCAGCGGAGAGUGUGCGCCGCCUGCGCGUGUCCAGCCUCCCCGCGCCGCCCUUUGCAGGACCAGGGGCCGCUGCACCCCACACCGAAGCCCAGACCUUACCUAGCAGAGGUUCGCUUUAUCCGCCACACUACCACUCCCCCAUCAGACGUAUUUUCCGUUUCUCCUUUGCCUAUAAAAAUGAGAAGAUUCAUCAGGUUGGAAUUUAA
rnacentral:lncRNA from 1 species